rnacentral:lncRNA from 1 species
UGGGAGGUUAUAUCUCUUGUCUGGUAAUGGUUAAAUCUGUUGUGUAUGCUUGUCUGGUUAAAUUUGUUGUCUACUUAUAUGUGUUGUGUUAAUUAAGUAUUGUAUAUGUGUUGUAUAUCUCUUGUCUAGAUAUACCUAUUGUGUAUUUCUUCAAAAGUUUUCCAGAAAUCCUAAUUUAAACAAAAAAAACAUCAUCGUCUUCUCCAAUAUGCAUUAUAGGUAUAGUAACUCAAAAGUUUUCCGGAAAUCCUAAUUUCUA